GGGUAUAGCUCAGUGGUAGAGUGCGUGCUUAGCAUGUAUGAGGUCCUGGGUUCAAUCCCCGGUACCUCCA
rnacentral:tRNA from 1 species